rnacentral:lncRNA from 1 species
GGGGCAUAUACCACUGUAUGCCUAGUAUUAGGAGUCAAGGAAAUCCCUUGAUUUAAUUUAAUCCAGAGCCAGAUACAAUCCUACGACAGAAUCAUAGAACGUCACAACACAUUUGAGACACUCGUCAUGAGCUACCUUAUAAUGAUCCACAUGAUUUGCCUCCCCUACCUCCUCAGGAGACAGUGGAGCAGGCUAUUGAGCAAUUACU